GACGAACGCUGGCGGCGUGCUUAACACAUGCAAGUCGAACGGCAAGGCCCUGCUUUCGUGGGGUGCUCGAGUGGCGAACGGGUGCGUAACACGUGAGUAACCUGCCCUUGACUUUGGGAUAACUUCAGGAAACUGGGGCUACUACCAGAUAGGAGCUCCUGCUGCAUGGUGGGGGUUGGAAAGUCUCGGCGGUUGGGGAUGGACUCGCGGCUUAUCAGCUUGUUGGUGGGGUAGUGGCUUACCAAGGCUUUGACGGGUAGCCGGCCUGAGAGGGUGACCGGCCACAAUGGGACUGAGAUACGGCCCAGACUCGUACGGGAGGCAGCAGUGGGGAAUAUUGCACAAUGGGCGGAAGCCUGAUGCAGCAACGCCGCGUGCGGGAUGACGGCCUUCGGGUUGUAAACCGCUGUCGCCUGUGACGAAGCGUGAGUGACGGUAAUGGGUAAAGAAGCACCGGCUAACUACGUG
rnacentral:rRNA from 1 species